ACAGUGGACGCGAGCAUCUUGUUUUUUGUGGUUAAGUUGUCAAGGGCGAACGGUGGAUGCCUUGGCACCAGGAGCC
rnacentral:rRNA from 1 species